rnacentral:rRNA from 1 species
UACGGGGGGGGCAAACGUUGUUCGGAAUUACUGGGCGUAAAGGGCUCGUAGGUGGCCAACUAAGUCAGACGUGAAAUCCCUCGGCUUAACCGGGGAACUGCGUCUGAUACUGGAUGGCUUGAGUUUGGGAGAGGGACGCGGAAUUCCAGGUGUAGCGGUGAAAUGCGUAGAUAUCUGGAGGAACACCGGUGGCGAAGGCGGCGUCCUGGACCAACACUGACACUGAGGAGCGAAAGCCAGGGGAGCAAACGGG